rnacentral:lncRNA from 1 species
UGGGCUUAGAAGGUUGUUUCUGGUCUCAAUCUUAGGCUUUGGUUUCUCGGUUCUUGCCUCCCCUUCUCCCUCUCCUCAGGUUGUUUCUCUUCUUCAUCUCCUUCCCUUGGUAUAGGUGUGCGGAUCAGAGUUAAUCUUUUGGAGUUUUGGUCCCUUCUAUCCAGAGCUUUGUGGUUCUUUGAUGGCAUGCGCAACUUGUCUAUGUUUGUUUAGUUUGUGAGGUGUUUCUUACCUCUUAGCUGGCGGUUGUGCUUUCGGUAACUUAGGCAUGUGUCUUGCUGCUUCAUGGUGACUUUGAUAUUCCAGUGAUUAUUCUUCUUCUGACUUUUUUCUUGGUUCUUUCGUUGGUGCUUGAUCGCGAUGUUUUGUGUUUGGAGAUUGUUUUGUCUCAGAUUUUAUCUUUCUACCACUUUUUAACCUCUGUUUGUUGUGGUCAAGAUA